AACGAACGCUGGCGGCAUGCCUAACACAUGCAAGUCGAACGGCAGCACGGGAGCAAUCCUGGUGGCGAGUGGCGAACGGGUGAGUAAUAUAUCGGAACGUGCCCAGUAGUGGGGGAUAGCCCGGCGAAAGCCGGAUUAAUACCGCAUGAGACCUGAGGGUGAAAGCGGGGGAUCGCAAGACCUCGCGCUAUUGGAGCGGCCGAUAUCUGAUUAGCUAGUUGGUGAGGUAAAGGCUCACCGAGGCGACGAUCAGUAGCUGGUUUGAGAGAACGACCAGCCACACUGGAACUGAGACACGGUCCAGACUCCUACGGAGGCAGCAGUGGGGAAUUUUGGACAAUGGGGGCAACCCUGAUCCAGCAAUGCCGCGUGAGUGAAGAAGGCCU
rnacentral:rRNA from 1 species